ensembl:snoRNA SNORA70 Small nucleolar RNA SNORA70
CUGCACAGCCAAUUAAGGCAAUUGUACUUUUUUCCCCAUAGAGGCCCGGGUGCAAAGGCUACAAAUAGUAGUGUAUGUAGCCUGUUGCUUAUACAGGUUGCCCUAAGGGACAAUGGAAAUAGCA